rnacentral:rRNA from 1 species
GACGAACGCUGGCGGCGUGCUUAACACAUGCAAGUCGAACGGUGAACCAGGGCUUGCCCUGGGGAUCAGUGGCGAACGGGUGAGUAACACGUGGGCAACCUGCCCCUGACUCUGGGAUAACUUCGGGAAACCGAAGCUAAUACCGGAUACGACCUCUGACGGCAUCGUCGGAGGUGGAAAGUUUUUCGGUCAGGGAUGGGCCCGCGGCCUAUCAGGUUGUUGGUGGGGUAAUGGCCCACCAAGGCGACGACGGGUAGCCGGCCUGAGAGGGCGACCGGCCACACUGGGACUGAGACACGACCCAGACUCCUACGGGAGGCAGCAGUGGGGAAUAUUGCGCAAUGGGCGAAAGCCUGACGCAGCGACGCCGCGUGAGGGAUGAAGGCCUUCGGGUUGUAAACCUCUUUCAGCAGGGACGAAGCGAAAGUGACUGUACCUGCAGAAGAAGCACCGGCUAACUACGUGCCAGCAGCAGCCGCCGUAA